rnacentral:rRNA from 1 species
AGAGGUUGAUCCUGGGUCAGGAUGAACGCUAGCGGCAGGCUUAACACAUGCAAGUCGAGGGGUAGAGUAGCAAUACUUGAGACCGGCGCACGGGUGCGUAACGCGUAUGCAAUCUACCUUUUACAGAGGGAUAGCCCAGAGAAAUUUGGAUUAAUACCUCAUAGUAUAGUACCUCCGCAUGGAGGAACUAUUAAAGUCACAACGGUAAAAGAUGAGCAUGCGUCCCAUUAGCUAGUUGGUAAGGUAACGGCUUACCAAGGCUACGAUGGGUAGGGGUCCUGAGAGGGAGAUCCCCCACACUGGUACUGAGACACGGACCAGACUCCUACGGGAGGCAGCAGUGAGGAAUAUUGGUCAAUGGGCGCAAGCCUGAACCAGCCAUGCCGCGUGCAGGAUGACGGUCCUAUGGAUUGUAAACUGCUUUUAUACAGGAAGAAACACUCGGACGUGUCCGAGCUUGACGGUACUGUAGGAAUAAGGAUCGGCUAACUCCGUGCCAGCAGCCGCGGUAAUACGGAGGAUCCAAGCGUUAUCCGGAAUCAUUGGGUUUAAAGGGUCCGUAGGCGGCUUAAUAAGUCAGUGGUGAAAGCCCUACGCUUAACGUAGGAACGGCCAUUGAUACUGUUAGGCUUGAAUUAUUAGGAAGUAACUAGAAUAUGUAGUGUAGCGGUGAAAUGCUUAGAGAUUACAUGGAAUACCAAUUGCGAAGGCAGGUUACUACUAAUGGAUUGACGCUGAUGGACGAAAGCGUGGGUAGCGAACAGGAUUAGAUACCCUGGUAGUCCACGCCGUAAACGAUGGAUACUAGCUGUUGGGAGCAAUCUCAGUGGCUAAGCGAAAGUGAUAAGUAUCCCACCUGGGGAGUACGUUCGCAAGAAUGAAACUCAAAGGAAUUGACGGGGGCCCGCACAAGCGGUGGAGC